ACAGGAGAAAGGUCUAUCGAUCCGAUGCCCGCCUAUCUUUGGCGGGAAAAUCGGAUAGGAAAGUCCAGACCACACAAGGCAGGGUGGGCGCUGUAAGGCGUUCGUGGCAACACCGAGUGAUCCGAUGUAUUUCGGAUAUCUUAAAGGAAUUAACCUUUAGGAAGAGCCGCAGAGACGUAGUCCCGACUUUAUGUCGGGGGUGAAACGUGGCAAUCCUCCCCGUGGCAACUCCCGGAUGGCACAAUGAGGCCGCCUGCUUAGUGCCGAAGACGGAGGCAAAGACAGAUGAUAGACAGCCCAAUUUAAUUGGGGGAACAGAAUCUGGCUUACUCUUCUCCUGCCAAG
rnacentral:ncRNA from 2 species